UACGUAGGGGGCAAGCGUUGUCCGGAUUUAUUGGGCGUAAAGAGCGUGUAGGCGGUCAGGUAGGUCCGUUGUGAAAACUCGAGGCUCAACCUCGAGACGCCGAUGGAAACCAUCUGACUAGAGUCCGGAAGAGGAGAGUGGAAUUCCUGGUGUAGCGGUGAAAUGCGCAGAUAUCGUAAGGAAGACCAGUGGCGAAGGCGGGUCUCUGGACAGUUCCUGACGCUGAGGCACGAAGGUCAGGGGAGCAAACGGG
rnacentral:rRNA from 1 species